rnacentral:tRNA from 1 species
UUCCAAUGGUGGGGUGGCUAUCGCACUUGCUUUGCAUGCGAGGGUCCGUGGGUUCGAUUCCCGUUUAAGGCAA